UUCCGGUUGAUCCUGCCGGACCUGACUGCUAUCGGAUUGAUACUAAGCCAUGCGAGUCUUUGUAGUAAUACAAGGCAUACGGCUCAGUAACGCGUAGUCAACCUACCCUAUGGACAAGAAUAAUCUCGGGAAACUGAGCAUAAUUCUUGAUAGAUCAUAAUGCCUGGAAUGGUAUAUGGUUAAAAUGAUUCGUCGCCAUAGGAUGGGACUGCGGCCUAUCAGCUUGUUGGUGAGGUAAUGGCCCACCAAGGCGAUAACAGGUACGGGCUCUGAGAGGAGAAGCCCGGAGAUGGGUACUGAGACAAGGACCCAGGCCCUAUGGGGCGCAGCAGGCGAGAAAACUUUGCAAUGUGCGAAAGCACGACAAGGUUAGUCCGAGUGAUUUCUGCUAAAGAGAUCUUUUGCUAGUUAUAAAACCACUAGUGAAUAAGGGGUGGGCAAGUUCUGGUGUCAGCCGCCGCGGUAAAACCAGCACCUCAAGUGGUCAGGAUGAUUAUUGGGCCUAAAGCAUCCGUAGCCGGCUCUGUAAGUUUUCGGUUAAAUCUAUACGCUCAACGUAUGGGCUGCCGAAAAUACUGUAGAGAUAGGGAGUGGGAGAGGUAGACGGUACUCGGUAGGAAGGGGUAAAAUCCUUUGAUCUAUCGAUGACCACCUGUGGCGAAGGCGGUCUACCAGAACACGUUCGACGGUGAGGGAUGAAAGCUGGGGGAGCAAACCGGAUUAGAUACCCGGGUAGUCCCAGCUGUAAACGAUGCAGACUCGAUGAUGCAUUGGCAUAUAGCCAGUGCAGUGUCGCAGGGAAGCCGUUAAGUCUGCCGCCUGGGAAGUACGUACGCAAGUAUGAAACUUAAAGGAAUUGGCGGGGGAGCACCACAAGGGGUGAAGCCUGCGGUUCAAUUGGAGUCAACGCCGG
rnacentral:rRNA from 1 species